rnacentral:rRNA from 1 species
GCGUAAUAGCUCACUGGUCGAGUCGGCCUGCGCGGAAGAUGUAACGGGGCUAAACCAUGCACCGAAGCUGCGGCAGCGACACUAUGUGUUGUUGGGUAGGGGAGCGUUCUGUAAGCCUGCGAAGGUGACCUGUGAGGGUUGCUGGAGGUAUCAGAAGUGCGAAUGCUGACAUAAGUAACGAUAAAGCGGGUGAAAAGCCCGCUCGCCGGAAGACCAAGGGUUCCUGUCCAACGUUAAUCGGGGCAGGGUGAGUCGACCCCUAAGGCGAGGCCGAAAGGCGUAGUCGAUGGGAAACAGGUUAAUAUUCCUGUACUUGGUGUUACUGCGAAGGGGGGACGGAGAAGGCUAUGUUAGCCGGGCGACGGUUGUCCCGGUUUAAGCAUGUAGGCUGAUUAUCCAGGCAAAUCCGGAUAAUCAAGGCUGAGGUGUGAUGACGAGGCACUACGGUGCUGAAGUAACAAAUGCCCUGCUUCCAGGAAAAGCCUCUAAGCAUCAGGUAACAUCAAAUCGUACCCCAAACCGACACAGGUGGUCAGGUAGAGAAUACCAAGGCGCUUGAGAGAACUCGGGUGAAGGAACUAGGCAAAAUGGUGCCGUAACUUCGGGAGAAGGCACGCUGGUGUGUAGGUGA